GUUACGAUUUACUUCUCGAGUGUUAAAAAAAGAAUAUCACCGACUAAAAAGUCAUCAAUAAUUCAUAAGGAAAAGACAAAGACUACCUUGUCGAUAGUGUUAAAGUGCCUAUACGACAAUUUUUUAUGAUUGAAUUGCAAAGUUCAUUUAAAAUCAUAAUAUAAUUUGUUUUCUAAAACUUUGUAAUCUUUCCUGUGUGUCAAGAUUUUCGACUUUGUUUGAUAUACAAAUGUGACUUAAAUGAGGUCACACUGCAUAAUGCGUUUUACAGAAGACUGUUGUAGCUUGUUAAAAUUCUCAUUAUCUCAAAUUUACAGACGAAAUGAUCGCUUUGAUAGCUCUUAAAGUAUAUCACUUUCAAUGUCAAUGGAAUUAUCACAUGUUUGGCAAGGAAACGUUUUCUUUCUAAAAACUCAUUAUGCAGUGCGACGUCAUUCAAGUCACAUUUGUAUAUCAAACAAAGUCGAAAACUUGGCAUACAGGAAAGAUUAUAAAGUUUUAGAAAACAAGUUAUAUUAUGAUUUUAAAUAAACUUUGCAAUUCAAUCAUAAAAAAAUUGUCGCAUAGGCACUUUAAACCAUGAGCCUUCAUACUACUAGUCUACUACAUGAUCAGAUGUCAACAUUCAUAUUUUAUCGAUACGGGAAAGGUCCAGGACCUGUUUAUUUAGGCCAAUUACCUUAUCCGGCAAAGCGAGUUACACAGACAAAAGUCUCGCAUCUUGUAGCAAGUCUGCCAACAAAUUGUCAACAAGUUGUAUUCGCAAUGCUUGUCCCAAGUUGUCAACAAGUUUGGAACAAACUGUUAACAACUUGUAACAACCUUGUUGAUAUUAUCAGACUUGUUACAAGGUUGUUCCAUUAAUAAGUCCGAUACAGUCAUAACAUAACAAUAUUGUUACAACCUUGUGUCCUCAACCUUGCAACACUCUUGUUUUACCAUGACUGUAUAUCGGACUUGCUAGAACAACCUUGCAACAAGUCUGAUAAUGCCAUCAAGCUUGUUGCAAGUUGUUAACAGCUUGUUCCAAACUUAGAACUGCUUGUUCCCAGUUGUUCUAACAGGUUUGAAAAUGUUCCAUACAUUUUCAAACCUGUUAGAACAACUGGGAACAAGCAGUGCGAACACAACUUGUUGACAG